UCAUAUGCUUGUGCUCAAAGAWWAAGCCAUGCAUGUCUAAGUACGAGCUCGUGCCGAGCGAAACUGCGGAUGGCUCAUUAAAUCAGUUAUGGUUCCUUGGAACGCAAGUCCCCCCUUACAUGGAUAACUGUGGUAAUUCUAGAGCUAAUACAUGCCGACGAGCGCCGACCCUCGCGGGGAGGCGCGCUCUUAUUAGGAACAAAGACCGACCCGGGCGGUUUACCCUUCGCGGUGGCCCCCGGUGCGUCUGGCGAACUCUGGAUAACCCGGCCGAUCGCACGGUCCCAGCACCGGCGACGGAUCCUUCGAACGUCUGCCCUAUCAACUUUCGAUGGUACGUUACGCGCCUACCAUGGUGGUAACGGGUGACGGAGAAUCAGGCGAGAAACGGCUACCACAUCCAAGGAAGGCAGCAGGCGCGCAAAUUACCCACUCCCGACACGGGGAGGUAGUGACGAAAAAUAGCAAUACAGGACUCUU
rnacentral:rRNA from 1 species